rnacentral:tRNA from 1 species
GAGGAGGUAAGUUAAAUUAAACUGUCUGGUUCAUACUCAGAAAAUGCUUACGAGUCUUCCUUA